UGUUCGUUACUAAGGGCGCAUGGUGGAUGCCUUGGCAUGCUGAGCCGAUGAAGGACGUGUAAGGCUGCGUUAAGCCUCGGGGAGUUGUCAAUUGAGCGUUGAUCCGAGGAUGUCCGAAUGGGGAAACCUGGCCACCGUUAUGGGUGGUUACCCUUCAGUGAAUUCAUAGCUGUUGUGGGGGUUACGCGGGGAAGUGAAACAUCUCAGUACCCGUAGGAAGAGAAAAUAAUAAUGAUUCUGCUAGUAGUGGCGAACGAACGUGGAUGAGGCUAAACCGUGUGCAUGUGAUACCUGGUAGGGGUUGUGUGUGCGGUGUUGUGGGCCCUAACAGGCAGUAGCUACCGAUACUGUGCUUGGUUGUUGUUGAUAGGUGAAGUGGUGUGGAAACGCCUACCGUAGAGGGUGAUAGUCCCGUAAUUGAAGUCUUCAAUUUCUAAGUUGUUGGGUUGCCCGAGUAGCAGCGGGCUCGUGGAAUCUGCUGUGAAUCUGCCGGGACCAUCCGGUAAGCCUAAAUACUCAGUGUGACCGAUAGUGGAUGAGUACCGUGAGGGAAUGGUGAAAAGUACCCCGGGAGGGGAGUGAAAUAGUUCCUGAAACCAUGUGCUUACAAUCCGUCAGAGCACCUGUAUGUGUGUGAUGGCGUGCCUUUUGAAGAAUGAGCCUGCGAGUCAGCGGCAUGUCGCGAGGUUAACCCGUGUGGGGUAGCCGUAGGGAAACCGAAUCCUAAUGGGGUGAUUUUU
rnacentral:rRNA from 2 species